GACGAACGCUGGCGGCGUGCUUAACACAUGCAAGUCGAACGGAAAGGCCCCUUUGGGGGUACUCGAGUGGCGAACGGGUGAGUAACACGUGAGUAACCUGCCCUUGACUUCGGGAUAACUUCAGGAAACUGGGGCUAAUACCGGAUAGGAAUCCUUGCUGCAUGGUUGGGGUUGGAAAGCUUCGGCGGUUUUGGAUGGACUCGCGGCUUAUCAGCUUGUUGGUGGGGUAGUGGCUUACCAAGGCUUUGACGGGUAGCCGGCCUGAGAGGGCGACCGGCCACAGUGGGGCUGAGAUAAGGCCCAGACUCCUACGGGAGGCAGCAGUGGGGAAUAAUGCACAAUGGGAGGAAGCCUGAUGCAACAACGGCGCGUGCGGGAUGACGGGCUUCGGGUUGUAAACCGCUUUCAGCAGGGGCGAAGCUUGUGGUGACGGUACCUGCAGAAGAAGCACCGGCUAACUACGUG
rnacentral:rRNA from 1 species